UAGGGAAUCUUCGGCAAUGGGGGGAACUCUGACCGAGCAACGCCGCGUGAGUGAAGAAGGUUUUCGGAUCGUAAAGCUCUGUUGUUAAGGAAGAACGAGUGUGAGAAUGGAAAGUUCAUGCUGUGACGGUACUUAACCAGAAAGGGACGGCUAACUACGUGCCAGCAGCCGCGGUAAUACGUAGGUCCCGAGCGUUGUCCGGAUUUAUUGGGCGUAAAGCGAGCGCAGGCGGUUAGAAAAGUCUGAAGUGAAAGGCAGUGGCUCAACCAUUGUAGGCUUUGGAAACUGUUUAACUUGAGUGCAGAAGGGGAGAGUGGAAUUCCAUGUGUAGCGGUGAAAUGCGUAGAUAUAUGGAGGAACACCGGUGGCGAAAGCGGCUCUCUGGUCUGUAACUGACGCUGAGGCUCGAAAGCGUGGGGAGCGAACAGG
rnacentral:rRNA from 1 species